AUUGAACGCUGGCGGCAGGCCUAACACAUGCAAGUCGAACGAGUGGCGGACGGGUGAGUAAUGUCUGGGAAACUGCCUGAUGGAGGGGGAUAACUACUGGAAACGGUAGCUAAUACCGCAUACCAUCAGAUGUGCCCAGAUGGGAUUAGCUAGUUGGUGGGGUAACGGCUCACCAAGGCGACGAUCCCUAGCUGGUCUGAGAGGAUGACCAUCCACAAGGUAACUGAGACACGGUCCAGACUCCGACGCUGUUCAACAGGUUAAAAUAUUGCACAAUGGGCGCAAGCAUGAUGCAGCCAUGCCGCGUGUAUGAAGAAGGCCUUAGGGUUGUAAAGUACUUUCAGCGGGGAGGCGUUACCCGCAGAAGAAGCACCGGCUAACUCCGUGCCAGCAGCCGCGGUAAUUC
rnacentral:rRNA from 1 species